ensembl:lncRNA
GCAAACUUUGCGCUCUUUUGGGUAAAUUGCUGUCCACUACAUAUACACAGAAUCUGCACAGUAUUUCAGAUCUAAAAAGGGAGUAUGUAAUGGACUUGCUGGCUUUAAUGUAAAAAGCCUGUUGUGUAACUUUAAUGAGGCAGUUGGACUAAAACAGUAUUGCUCAUCAAGGUAAACAUCUGAGGAAUAAGGAAAUUGUUACUUGUCCUUUUACUCAGUGUUCUUUUAAUCGCACAUUUACUAAAGUUUUACAUCACAUAAGUCAUUUUCACAAUCAUUCUACUUUAAAAGAUUUCAAGACAGAGCUUAUUGUUCUCUGAACUUCCUUGUUUGCUGAACGGCAGGUUGAAGCAGAAUUUGCCCGUCUUACAUCUGUUGACCUGAAAGGGUUCCUUUUUGCUGUGCUUGACCAUUAUGGAGAGGUUCGUGGAGCUGUACAAAAUCAAGAGCGGCAUAGGAGGGCUAACGAGGCUCAUAAGAUGCUUCAGUGAUGAUAGCCCUACACAAAGGAAGAGGACAGAGGACCUCAUUUUCUAAAGGAAGAUCCUCACACACUUUCAAGACUGUGAAGCCGACAGGUAUUGAAGACACGUUUUCUAAGAGGAUGAAAGUUGGCAUUGUGAUGGUGAAAGAAGAAGACAUCAUCGAUGUGUUGAUUGUCCUUGAGGCGGCAGUAAUCCUGUCUAAUCUGAGGGAUGUCUCAAGUGCCAUUUCCAUGCUGAUGGGCCUUCUUUUUGCCCUCAACAUAGACUAUCCAAAGGAACUUAAGGACAUCUUUGAAGUCAUUCAGAACAUCCUAAUGAACAUUGGUGGAAGG